rnacentral:rRNA from 1 species
GAUGAACGCUGGCGGCGUGCCUAAUACAUGCAAGUCGAGCGAACAGAUAAGGAGCUUGCUCCUUUGACGUUAGCGGCGGACGGGUGAGUAACACGUGGGUAACCUACCUAUAAGACUGGGAUAACUUCGGGAAACCGGAGCUAAUACCGGAUAAUAUUUCGAACCGCAUGGUUCGAUAGUGAAAGAUGGUUUUGCUAUCACUUAUAGAUGGACCCGCGCCGUAUUAGCUAGUUGGUAAGGUAACGGCUUACCAAGGCGACGAUACGUAGCCGACCUGAGAGGAUGAUCGGCCACACUGGAACUGAGACACGGUCCAGACUCCUACGGGAGGCAGCAGCAGGGAAUCUUCCGCAAUGGGCGAAAGCCUGACGGAGCAACGCCGCGUGAGUGAUGAAGGUCUUCGGAUCGUAAAACUCUGUUAUUAGGGAAGAACAUACGUGUAAGUAACUGUGCACGUCUUGACGGUACCUAAUCAGAAAGCCACGGCUAACUACGUG